GUCUUUUUUUUGUUAGGAAGUAUUAGUAUUGGUCUAGGAAUCCUAUUAGUCUAUGUUUACUUUCCUUGCACCUCAAGUCUUGUGUAAUAUAUAUGUGCCUCUUGGGCCUUCAAUAAAAGAUAAGUUGCUUUCCUAACAUGGUAUCAGAGCUUAGGUUAUUUUUUUCGGGCGCCGCAACUCGCCCUCCUGAUCCAAUCUCGUUCUCUUGCCGUCGAGCUUCUUUCGCCGUCGGUUUUUAUGGGCCAUGAUUCGUUAAGCAAUGCUUCAUUCUUUUGAUGUGCCAUCUCCUUUUGACAACCCAUCUUCUCUUGAUAUUUAUGUUGUAUCUUCAAGUGAUGCGACGUCUUCCUCUGAUGUGCCAUCUCUUUGUUAUCCCCUUUGGCUUGACUCGACAGGUUUUGAAGACUCUUCAUGCUACGACGACACCUUCAAGACGCGGAUUUGGAUUAUCAUUUUUUUAGUAUUACACUUCUUCAAAUACAAUGCUAUUGCAUACGCUUUGCAUUCGACGAGGGUGUUAGGAAGUAUUAGUAUUGGUCUAGGAGUCCUAUUAGUCUAUGUUUACUUUUCUUACACCUCAAGUCUUGUGUAAUAUAUAUGUGCCCCUUGGGCUUUCAAUAAAGAUAAGUUGCUUUCCUAACAGUUUUUUCUCAGUGCUUCCAACUCUUCUAUCAUCGCUUCACGACACUUCGGAUCUUGCUUUGCAGCCUUCCAUUCCUUUGGAAUUGACACAGUUUGAAGGGAGGCAACAAACACCUUAUAUGAGGGUAACAAAGCCUUAUAAGACACAAAAUUGUUAAUAUCAAGAUCAUCACAAGCAUCAUCCUUUGGUAGAGCCUUCCUUGCUACUUCACCCUUUCUUGCCGCUUCACGUGUAGCCUUUCGCAAUGCAAUGAGCAGCUCCACUGUGUCAGAUGAGCUUAUCUCACUGUCUUGUUGCUCCCCUUGCACUCUUGCCUCACUGCCUUGCCGCUUCCCUUGCACGUGUGGUUGCCGUCGAGAGUACACCAGGGUGUUCGUCUGCCAUCGAUCCCAAACAGGAACCCGAAGAGCACCAAUCUUAAGUGUAUCAACAGUUGGCUCAACAUGAACCUGCACACCAUCAUCAGUGAGGGUACUAACUGGAAUUGUUCCCACUAUUUUUGGCAUGGUUCCGAUAUGUGGCGCUAUCGUACGUCCAUGUCAGUGGAGACUUCAACCCACGAAGGGUAACGGCUGGAGAGUGCACGGAGGGCUCCACCCACGAAGGGUCCACAAAGAAGCGGCCUUGUCUAUUCCACCACGACUUCCGUUCACGGAGGACUAGCCUUACUCGCGGUAGGUCUUCACGAAGUAGGCGAUCUCCUUGCCCUUACAAACAUCUUGGUUCAACUCCAUAACAAGAAGUAGGAGGCUCCCAAGCGACACCUAACCAAUCUAGGAGGCACCACCCUCCAAAAGGUAAUAGAUGUGGUAGAUCAAUGAACUCCUUGCUCUUGUGCUUUUAAAGAUAGUCUCCUCGACACAAAAUCACUCUUUCAUAGAAUAUGCAUGUGUAGGAAAGGUUGAUUUGGUGGAAAGCAGUUUGGGGAGGCUAGAGAUCAAGAUUCAAAUGAUUUGAGUGGAAUAUCUUGGUCUCAACACAUGAGUAGGUGGUUCUCUCUCAAAAAAUGGAUCUCUACGAUGAUAGUAUCCCUCACCAAACGCCAUACUCUCCUAGGUUGUGAAACCAAUACAAUGGAGACCAAAGCUCUUAUACCACUUGUAGGAUCGAAAGUAUGGCGGGUGAUUAGACUACUUGACAAGAUAAUUUUUUUGCCUUUUCCCAAUUUUAGUUGGGAGGCAGCUAUGGCAGUUAUAUCAAGUCAAGUACACCCUACACAUGCAGUUCUAAGAGUGUAGCAGCGGAAUGUAAAACAUGCAAGUGUAAAGUAAAGGAGUAAGGUAGGGAGAUCAAACGCAUGAGAGGUUGACACGACGAUUUUUGGCAUGGUUCCGAUAUGUGGCCCUAUCGUAUGUCCAUGUCAGUGGAGACUUCAACCCACGAAGGGUAACGGCUGGAGAGUGCACGGAGGGCUCCACCCACGAAGGGUCCACAAAGAAGCGGCCUUGUCUAUUCCACCACGCCUUCCGUUCACGGAGGACUAGCCUUACUCGAGGUAGGUCUUCACGAAGUAGGCGAUCUCCUUGCCCUUACAAACAUCUUGGUUCAACUCCAUAACAAGAAGUAGG
rnacentral:lncRNA from 1 species